GGUGGAGGUGGGCGCUGGAACUCCGGCUACAUUUUUCUACAAGGCGCCAUUUUGUGCUGGAAAUGCUCUUGGGCCCACGUCCUGUAUUGCUAAGGCUCAGAGAUCAGUCAGAAUGACCUUGAAGGCUUGGACAGCCUUGCACUCCGUGUGUGACCCCGACCCCUGCCAGGCUUCAUCGAAGACGCCAGCCUCAGUUUCCUUAUGUGACAAAUGGGCACUGGGAUCCGUUGUGAUGCCAGGGAAAGAAGUCAGAGAGUGCCAAGACGUUUAUUCAGGGCAUGGUUCUGCCUGUGACUGACCCAUGGCCUCCAGCCACACCCGCCUUCUCUGGGACUCAGUUUCCCUCUCUAGGAAAUGGACGCAUAGCUGCCUGGGAAAGGGACUGUCUCCAGCCCUCAGUGUCAGUAAAAACGUCAGGCAAUUGCUUGAGAACGGUGGCCAGAGCUCCCUGAGCAGGCCUUUUGGAGGUGCUUAGAGAGGAGGAGGGAAUGCUGAAGUUGGCCAUCCUUUGCUCAUCUGUGCAGUGCGGUCGCAGUGCCCUCUCGGUGUCUCUGCCAGUCUGUGCGUCCACAGCUCUUCUUAGUUUCUUGGCCUUUUCCAGCCGUGGAUGACAGCAUUAACAUCUGGGCCUAAUUGGGCCACAGAUACCUGAAAAGACCCCUGGCUACCAGCUUCCCCUCAUGGGGCCUCAGCUUCUGAAGAAGGAAUAAGGAAGGUGUGAAAGAAAUCUACAUGGCCAAGGUCAGGCAUGGUAGCUCACGCCUGUAAUCCCAGCACUUUGGGAGGCUGAAGCUGGUGGAUUACCUGAGGUCAGGAGUUCAAGACCAGCCUGGCCAACAUGGUGAAACCCCAUCUGUACUAAAAAUACAAAAAUUAGCCAGGUGUGUUGAUGCAGCCCUGUAAUCCCAGCUACUCGUGAGGCUGAGAUGGGAGAAUUGGUUAAAGCCGGGAUGUGGAGGUUGCAGUGAACUGAGAUCUCACCACUGCACCCCAGCCUGGGCAACAGACAAGACCCUGUUUCAAAAAACAAAAAAGCAAAAAAAAACCAAAAAACAAAAAAAGCCUACAUGGUCGGGUACAGUGACUCACGCCCAUAAUCUCAGAACUUUGGGAGGCCAAGGUAGGUCAAUCACUUGAGCCCAGGAGUUCGAGACCAGCCUGGGCAACAUAGUGAGAGUCCCCCACCAAUAUGUACAAAACAAACAAACCCAAAACAAGAGAAGAAACAGCUACAGCAUAAAAAGUCAUCAUCAUAACUGGUUUGUGGAGAAAUGGCUACAGGUGAUCCCUUCCUGCUCCCUCACCCCAGGUCCAAUCUAUACCAGUUCCUGUUGACGUCAUCUGCUGAACCUGAUCACUUCCUCCCAUCCCCCAUGCCACCAGUCCUGCUUAGAGUCACCAUCAUCCCAUUUUGCCGAUAAGCAUUUUGCUGAUCUUCAAUUUUAGCCUGCUGGGUGUGGAGGAUUCCAGCCCAAUUAACAGACAAGGAAACUGAAGGAGCAGGAGCAUCUACACUCUAGCUGCCAGGAUGCUAUGGGAUACAGCAGAGAAUAAAAGGGACAAAGCCUCGACUUUCAUGGAUCUUACAUCCUGGUGCGGGAGCCAGAUAGCAACAUACAAAAGCAUAAAAUGGGGAAAGGACACCCUACUCAAUAAAUGGUGCUGGGGAAACUGGCAAGCCACAUGUAGAAAAAUGAAACUGGAUCCUCAUCGCUCACCUUAUAUUAAGGUUGGUGCAAAAUAAAUCAAGGUUUUUGCCAUUAUUUUAAUAUUUGAAAGCUAUACAUCUCACAAAGGACUAAUAUCCAGAAUUUACAAGGAGCUCUAACAAAUCAGCAAGAAAAAAAAAUUAUCCAAUGAAAAAGUAGGCAAAGGACAUGAAUGGACAAUUCUUUCAAAAGAAGAUAUUGCAAACAGCCAACAAACAUAUGAAAACUGCUUAGCAUCACUCAUUAUCAGGGAAAUGCGAAUUAAACCCACAAUGAGAUAAUACCUUACCCCUGCGAGAAUGGCCAUAAUUAAAAAAAUAUAAUAGAUGUUGGCAUGGAUGUGGUAAAAAGGGAACACUUUUACACUGUUGGUGGGAAUGUAAACUAGUACAACUACUAUGGAAACCAGUGUGGAGAUUCCUUAAAGAACUGAAAGUAGAUCUACCAUUCGAUCCAGCAAUCCCACUACUGGGUAUCUACCCAGAGGAAAAGAAGUCAUAUGCAAAAGACACAUACACAUGCAUGUUUAUAGAAGGACAAUUUGCAAUUGCAAAAAUACGGAACCAACCUAAAUGCCCAUCAUCACCCAAUGAGUGGAUAAAGAAAAUAUGGUAUAUAUACACCAUGGAAUACUACUCAGCCAUAAAACAGAAAACAGAAUGAAAUAAUGGCAUUCGCAGCAACUUGGAUGGCCAUUAUUCUUUUUUUUUUUUUUAGACUGAGUCUUGCACUGUCACCUGGGCUGGAGUGCAGUGGUGUGAUCUCAGCUCACUGCAACCUCCGCCU